rnacentral:rRNA from 1 species
GGUUACCUUGUUACGACUUCACCCCAGUCAUGAAACACAAAGUGGUAAUCGUCCUCCCGAAGGUUAGACUAACUACUUCUUUUGCAUCCCACUCCCAUGGUGUGACGGGCGGUGUGUACAAGGCCCGGGAACGUAUUCACCGCAGUAUUCUGACCUGCGAUUACUAGCGAUUCCGACUUCAUGGAGUCGAGUUGCAGACUCCAAUCCGGACUACGACAUUCUUUAAGGGGUCGCUCCACAUCACUGUCUCGCUUCCCUCUGUUAAUGCCAUUGUUA